UCUCAUGCCUAACAUGCCAUGAGACAUGUCCGAAGAACUUCAGUAUGCGACUCUGUACUAACGCCGAAAGACGUUGUUUAAUGCCGAGUUCUUGGAGUAUAGAAACGUUGGUGCAAAGUUCAGUCCAUGAGACUCCUAGCAUUCGCCUCCAGCACCACAUCUCCAAAGCAU